rnacentral:rRNA from 1 species
CGCCUGUUUAUCAAAAACAUGUCCUUUUGUUGUUUAAUUUAAGGUCUGGCCUGCCCUAUGAAUAAAUUUUAAAUGGCCGCGGUAUUUUAACUGUGCUAAGGUAGCAUAAUCAUUUGUCUUUUAAUUGAGGGCUGGAAUGAAUGGUUGGACGAGGCAUUAGCUUUCUUUGUAUUAAUAUUUAAUUUAAUUUUUUGGUCAAAAAGCCAAAAUUUUAUUGUUAGACGAGAAGACCCUAUAGAUCUUUAUAUUUAUAUUAAUUAGUUAUUUUAGGGAAUUUAAUUAUUUUAAUUAAUUUAUUUAUUUGAUUGGGGUGAUUAGAGAAUAUAUUAAACUUCUUUUUAUUUGAUUUUCAUUAAUUAUUGUUUUAUUGAUCCUAUUGUAUUGAUUAUAAGAUUAAGUUACCUUAGGGAUAACAGCGUAAUUUCUUCGGAGAGUUCAAAUCGAUGAAGGAGUUUGCGACCUCGAUGUUGGAUUAAAAUAAGUGGUUGGUGAGCAGCGCCGCCUAGGUCUGUUCGACCUUUGAAGUUUUACAUGAUCUGAGUUCAAACCGGAG